rnacentral:rRNA from 2 species
GUUGGGUAGGGGAGCGUUCUGUAAGCCUGCGAAGGUGUACUGUGAGGUAUGCUGGAGGUAUCAGAAGUGCGAAUGCUGACAUAAGUAACGAUAAUGCGGGUGAAAAACCCGCACGCCGGAAGACCAAGGGUUCCUGUCCAACGUUAAUCGGGGCAGGGUGAGUCGACCCCUAAGGCGAGGCUGAAAAGCGUAGUCGAUGGGAAACGGGUUAAUAUUCCCGUACUGGUGGUAACUGCGAUGGGGGAACGGAGAAGGCUAGGUUGUCCGGGCGACGGUCGUCCCGGUUCAAGCAGGUAGGCAGAGUGAUUAGGCAAAUCCGGUCACUUAAUGCUGAGAUGUGAUGACGAACCACCAAGGUGGUGAAGCAAUUGAUGCCCCGCUUCCAGGAAAAGCCUCUAAGCUUCAGGUUACCAACAAUCGUACCCCAAACCGACACAGGUGGUCAGGUAGAGAAUACUCAGGCGCUUGAGAGAACUCGGGUGAAGGAACUAGGCAAAAUGGUGCCGUAACUUCGGGAGAAGGCACGCUGGCGGUAGGUAAAGUCCCUCGCGGACGGCGCUGAAGCCAGUCGAAGAUACCAGCUGGCUGCAACUGUUUAUUAAAAACACAGCACUGUGCAAACACGAAAGUGGACGUAUACGGUGUGACGCCUGCCCGGUGCUGGAAGGUUAAUUGAUGGGGUCAGCCGCAAGGCGAAGCUCCUGAUCGAAGCCCCAGUAAACGGCGGCCGUAACUAUAACGGUCCUAAGGUAGCGAAAUUCCUUGUCGGGUAAGUUCCGACCUGCACGAAUGGCGUAAUGAUGGCCAGGCUGUCUCCACCCGAGACUCAGUGAAAUUGAACUCGCUGUGAAGAUGCAGUGUACCCGCGGCAAGACGGAAAGACCCCGUGAACCUUUACUAUAGCUUGACACUGAACAUUGAGCCUUGAUGUGUAGGAUAGGUGGGAGGCUUUGAAGUGUGGACGCCAGUCUGCAUGGAGCCAACCUUGAAAUACCACCCUUUAACGUUUGAUGUUCUAACCUAGGCCCAUAAACUGGGUCGGGGACCGUGUCUGGUGGGUAGUUUGACUGGGGCGGUCUCCUCCUAAAGAGUAACGGAGGAGCACGAAGGUUGGCUAAGCAUGGUCGGACAUCAUGCGGUUAGUGCAAAGGCAUAAGCCAGCUUGACUGCGAGAGUGACGGCUCGAGCAGGUACGAAAGUAGGUCUUAGUGAUCCGGUGGUUCUGAAUGGAAGGGCCAUCGCUCAACGGAUAAAAGGUACUCCGGGGAUAACAGGCUGAUACCGCCCAAGAGUUCAUAUCGACGGCGGUGUUUGGCACCUCGAUGUCGGCUCAUCACAUCCUGGGGCUGAAGUAGGUCCCAAGGGUAUGGCUGUUCGCCAUUUAAAGUGGUACGCGAGCUGGGUUUAGAACGUCGUGAGACAGUUCGGUCCCUAUCUGCCGUGGGCGUUGGAAGAUUGAGAGGGGUUGCUCCUAGUACGAGAGGACCGGAGUGAACGCACCACUGGUGUUCGGGUUGUCAUGCCAAUGGCAUUGCCCGGUAGCUAAGUGCGGAAGAGAUAACCGCUGAAAGCAUCUAAGCGGGAAACUUGCCUCGAGAUGAGUCUUCCCUGUCGCUUUAAGUGACCUAAAGGAACGUUUAAGACUAAGACGUUGAUAGGCUGGGUGUGUAAGCGUAGCGAUACGUUGAGCUAACCAGUACUAAUGAACCGUGAGGCUUAACCUG